GUCGAGAAUCUUCCGCAAUGCGCGCAAGCGUGACGGAGCAACGCCGCGUGGGUGACGAAGGCCUUCGGGUUGUAAAGCCCUGUCAGUUGUCAGGAAAUGCAGGCGGUGAACAACUGUCCUGCUUGACCAGGCAGCAAAGGAAGCACCGGCUAAAUACGUGCCAGCAGCCGCGGUAAUACGUAUGGUGCAAACGUUGUUCGGAAUCACUGGGCCUAAAGAGCGCGUAGGCGGUUUGGCAAGUCAGGUGUGAAAUCCCUCGGCUCAACCGAGGAACUGCACCUGAAACUGCCUCACUAGAGUGCAGGAGGGGAGAGUGGAAUUCCUGGUGGAGCGGUGAAAUGCGUAGAUAUCAGGAGGAACGCCGGUGGCGAAAGCGACUCUCUGGCCUGCUACUGACGCUGAGGCGCGAAAGCUAGGGGAGCAAACGGGAUUAGAAACCCCAGUAGUCC
rnacentral:rRNA from 1 species